ACCUUCUGUAGAUGGGAAUAUCAUAUUUAACUAGCCUGUAUCAAAAACGGUGAUGCAACUUGCUGUAUAGGCAAAAGAAAAAAAAUGAACAGUUUCUGCAUUCACCAAAUGAAAUGCUGCCAUGUCACUAGUAUUCCUGACAAGCAGAGUAUAAUAAGCAACAGAUUCACUGGGAAAAUACUUCCUAUCUGUUAGAAAAAGUUGACGGUUUUCAAAUAGAUGAUGCACGAUUUAGGUUUGUUGGUCCUUUUCAAGGCACUGAGAUAUCAAGGCUCGGAUUUUCAGAGGCCCUGAUUUCAGCAAGAGCUGCGCUUCUGAAGAUGAAGCCACAGACCUUUACAACAGAUUAAUACAAGGGAAAAACCCAAAUCUGCAGGAUGGGGGAGUCAGAUCUUUCUGUGAAAAAAAUGAAGAGGCCUUGUGUCAUUUGCUCCUCCACUCCAUUGGUCACAAAGCCUAUUCUGGAUAAAGAGAUGGAGAUAUUGCUGACUUUUCUUUUUAACAGAAGUAGGAGAUGGGUAGAAACCUGAGCAUCAAAAGGCACUUUUUCUUUUGGGAGAAUGUCAAGUGCUUGGGGGAGAAGCAGACAGUCAGAAACAUCAAAACCUGAUGUGAUUCUCCUGAAAGGCACUCUGAUGCACUGGAAAUGCCACAUCUCCUCUCCUGGGACCCAGUGCAAUUAUCUCGGGAAAACAGAAUAAUUUCCAAACUAUUGACUUGCCAGUAGGGCUAAGUCAAUGUAGCCUGAUGGUUUUCAGCAAAAGGCUCCCAGUAGUCUUUAAAAAUCUGACAAGUCAUAGAGCUGUUUGUUGCUUCUUGUGAGCCAGGAGGGUGUGGGACAUCAGCCGUCGUGGAAGAAAGGAUUGCAGGUGAUGUGAAAGUGAAUGGAAAUAGACUCUCCUUCUCUUGCAGGACUUCUCUACUGAGGUGUGACAGUUAAUGGCAAAACCAUUUACUGCCAUCAAGAGGCUGCUGUGAGAGAAGAAUAUGAAAUAUGCUGUUCCUUAUCCAGGAAAUAUACAAUGUUUCCGAAUGACUGAUUUAUUAUUUUCACCCUGUCCGGCAAUACAGAAGGUGCAUCAGGGAUCUGCCUUUCUCCGCUCUGAAUAACUUAAGUCAGGCUGCAACAUGUGAAAUAAUUGAGCUGACCAGAAUUUACAGCUCUAGGUGGACUUCUGUCUUUCUGUUGAGUUUGUGAGUCAUGACAAUAAGAGUUACCACAUGAGCAUGA